UACGUAGGGUGCAAGCGUUGUCCGGAAUUAUUGGGCGUAAAGGGCUCGUAGGUGGCCAACUAAGUCAGACGUGAAAUCCCUCGGCUUAACCGGGGAACUGCGUCUGAUACUGGAUGGCUUGAGUUCGGGAGAGGGAUGCGGAAUUCCAGGUGUAGCGGUGAAAUGCGUAGAUAUCAGGAAGAACACCGGUGGCGAAGGCGGCAUUCUGGACCGAAACUGACGCUGAGGCGCGAAAGCCAGGGGAGCAAACGGG
rnacentral:rRNA from 1 species